rnacentral:rRNA from 1 species
AUUGAACGCUGGCGGCAGGCCUAACACAUGCAAGUCGAGCGGAUGAAGGGAGCUUGUUCCUGGAUUCAGCGGCGGACGGGUGAGUAAUGCCUAGGAAUCUGCCUGGUAGUGGGGGAUAACGUCCGGUAACGGGCGCUAAUACCGCAUACGUCCUGAGGGAGAAAGUGGGGGAUCUUCGGACCCCACGCUAUCAGAUGAGCCUAGGCCGGAUUAGCUAGUUGGUGGGGUAAGGGCCUACCAAGGCGACGAUCCGUAACUGGUCUGAGAGGAUGAUCAGUCACACUGGAACUGAGACACGGUCCAGACUCCUACGGGAGGCAGCAGUGGGGAAUAUUGGACAAUGGGCGAAAGCCUGAUGCAGCCAUGCCGCGUGUGUGAAGAAGGUCUUCGGAUUGUAAAGCACUUUAAGUUGGGAGGAAGGGCAGUAGGUUAAUACCUUGCUGUUUUGACGUUACCAACAGAAUAAGCACCGGCUAACUUCGUG